UCGGAGCCGCCAGGGUCCCUGCACAAAGGCUCUGGGUGGGGCGUGACCCCCACAUCCGUGUGGGGUUCGGGCAUCUGCGACUCCAGGGGUUCCCACCGCGCUCCCCGCGAUCUGGUCUGCGGCCUCUUCUCUGGGCUGUGUGUCUGGGUUGGGGCACUCGAGCCUGUGGGGUCCAUGUCUGCAAGGGACAGACUGUGUCAGUGACGCAGCAGCUUCUCAGGGACCCGGGGUUCACCCCUGAGACCCCGCCAUCUGCAGACUCUGGAGCAUCCCCUGUGUGAGAACAGAAAUACACGGCCGUGUCCUCGGGCCUCAGGCUGCUCAUUUGCAGAUACAGCGAGUUCUUGGCGUUGUCUCUGGAGACGGUGAAUCGGCCCUUCACGGAGUCUGCGUAGUAUGUGCCACCACUAUAAGGAUACAUUUCUGCAACCCACUCAAACCCCUUCCCUGGAGCCUGGCGGACCCAGUUCAUGAAUAGCUGUUGAUGGUGAAUCCGGAGGCUGCACAGGAGAGUCUGAGGGAACCCCCAGGUGGCACCAAGUCUCCCCCAGACUCCACCAGCUGCGCCUCACCCUGGACACCUGCAAACACAGACACAGCCCGUCAGGACAUGGCUCUCGCCCACUGCUUCCCCUCCUGCAGCCCCGCUCCCAGGAAUAAUGUCCGAUUAUUUAUUUGGCUCUUUCAUGUUCAUGCGAGGUUCUGACCCUGUC